UGGGGAAUAUUGGACAAUGGGCGCAAGCCUGAUCCAGCCAUGCCGCGUGGAUGAUGAAGGCCUUAGGGUUGUAAAGUCCUUUUAACGGGGAAGAUAAUGACGGUACCCGUAGAAUAAGCCCCGGCUAACUUCGUGCCAGCAGCCGCGGUAAUACGAAGGGGGCUAGCGUUGCUCGGAAUCACUGGGCGUAAAGCGCACGUAGGCGGCUUUCUAAGUCAGGGGUGAAAUCCUGGAGCUCAACUCCAGAACUGCCUUUGAUACUGGAAAGCUUGAGUUCGGGAGAGGUGAGUGGAACUGCGAGUGUAGAGGUGAAAUUCGUAGAUAUUCGCAAGAACACCAGUGGCGAAGGCGGCUCACUGGCCCGAUACUGACGCUGAGGUGCGAAAGCGUGGGGAGCAAACAGG
rnacentral:rRNA from 1 species